UACGUAGGGUGCGAGCGUUGCCCGGAUUUAUUGGGCGUAAAAGGGCGCGUAGGCGGUCACGCACGUCCGUUGUGAAAUCGCUCGGCUCAACUGGGCGGGGUCAGCGGAUACGGCGUGGCUGGAGCAAGCUAGGGGGCAAUGGAAUUCCCGGUGUAGUGGUGGAAUGCGUAGAUAUCGGGAGGAACACCAGUGGCGAAGGCGGUUGCCUGGAGCUUUGCUGACGCUGAUGCGCGAAAGCGUGGGGGAGCGAGUCCGGCG
rnacentral:rRNA from 1 species